UACAGAGGUCUCAAGCGUUGUUCGGAUUCAUUGGGCGUAAAGGGUGCGUAGGCGGCGCGGUAAGUCGGGUGUGAAAUCUUGGAGCUUAACUCCGAAACUGCAUUCGAUACUGCCGUGCUUGAGGACUGGAGAGGAGGACUGGAAUUUACGGUGUAGCGGUGAAAUGCGUAGAUAAUCGUAAGGAAGACCAGUGGCGAAAGGCGGGUC
rnacentral:rRNA from 1 species